GUUCCCAGAGCUUAUUGCACCAUCUGUGAAAUCUGAAGUAUUGUUGUGAGGAUUCAAUGGAGUAAUAUCUGCUGAUGUGCGAACCACAGAGCCUGCAGGAGAGUAAGUCGUGGGGAAGGGCUGGCUUCCUUCUUUUACAAUGGCAGUCAGUAUGUUCAGGCUUAUGUCAGGGCCAAGGAUGGGUUUCUCAGUCUUAGAAACCUCCCUGGUGGGGAAAGGCUGUGACACAGUAGCCUAGAUCCCAGGGAAUACAUGGAGAGGUGGAGUGUCCAGGGGUGAGGACCGAGAGUAGCUAGAGUGACUGAUGUGCUGGAGAACAGUCCAGCUGGGUGUGGAGGGAGGCCCAUGGAAGAGAGGGGCAAAGAAGCCAUUUCCAGCAAAAACCAAGAAUCCUUGGGCUGGGCCCCACCUGGAUACAAAUCCAAAUCUAUACCAGCCAAUGUGAGCCAGGCAAGGUGGCCUGAGCUGAGGCUUCAGGAACCCUGGGAUAAAGAAUGUGUGCUAGACAAACAGAAUGUGUCUUGC
rnacentral:lncRNA from 1 species